AUUUCUAUUUAUGGGAAAAGCAUUUCCGUCGCCAUGACGCCUCACCUCGUAACAACACACUAAUAUUGGGUACACCAGAGCAACCAGCAUCAUUUUCUGCAGCUCCUCCAUCGACGUUUCCUCGUCUAUUUCCUCCACGAUAAAAUGCAUGGCAAACUUGGACACGUCCCUGGGAGAGUGGGGGGGGACACAACCGUCAAUCAUCUUUACAUGCACACAUCAUAGGCAAUGAAAUGACGCUCACUUGAUUCCACUCAUAUGCAUAACACUGAGGAUUAUGGCCGCUUUGAUGAAAAACAGUAUGAAGAAAUCCACAACUUCAGCCAGGAGUCUUUGGAGAGCUGCUGGGGCUGAGUCGGCACUGCAGCCGCGCCCGCGGCGUCACCUGCGCGGCUGCUCGGCGAACCAGAGGCGUAAGCAUAGGGCGACAACGGAACACCAAACGGACCGGUGGACAAAUUGUGAUAGGUGGAAUCGAGACGUGCCGUCGACGUGCCGUUAACCGACUGCAAAACACACGGGUAGGACAUGGCUGACGCCGCCAGCCAGCUCUGCCAUGUCACAUAGCCGGUGUAGUACUGGCACAUCCACGUCUGUAACUUCUCGCAGUACUCCGCAGUGGUGCAGCUUUUAGGUACGUCUUCGUGUUCUCUUUUCUCUGUUUCUUCAUCUACGAGUCGUUUAAGCCCAUUACAAAAAGCUUUACUCUUAUCGGAUUCCAUGUUUGUGUUUUCCUCGUCCGCCAUGUUGGAUGUGGGUGGGUGACGUCAUUUUGGAAUAUUACACGAGCAGGAGAGUACUUUUUUUUAACUGUCUGCCAUAAAGUUGAUUUGUAUGGUUAAUUCAACGAUGUUUUACCUUUAAAAAAUAAAACAUAUAGACAGGACUAAGUUGAUGUUUUAAUAGAUUACCCCGGACCAAACAUUCAGUGUCCACCCCUAUUCACACAGAACAUGGUACGGUCCAACACUAUUAGCAAAGCUAGCGUCUCCGCUUGUCACUACGCAAUCUCUCGAUCACGUAAUCGGUGCCGCGCAUGUGCGACAAUUACGUCACUUCCUUCAGCAAAUUUUUACUACAGUUUCUGCGACGUCACGCGCUGUGGAUGAAGACGAGAGGAAAGACUAUCACACGGCGGAAAUGUCAUAUUUGAAGCCCGGUGGAGCGCGUGGUUGAUGCCGAGACAGCCAAUCAGGCGCGGGACCUGCUGUUGCCAUGGGGACGGUAGGACCAAGGGGCGGGUCUUCAAAUCAAAUUCUGGUGUGUGGGUGACAAGUGGAAAAUGGGAACCCAAUCCCCUUCUAACAUUUAAACAAACACAAUUCUAUUUAAUUUUAAUAAUAUUAUUUAGAUGUACGGUUAUAAUUCUAUAUUAUAAUUGUUUACAUUUACAAAUUAUAAUUUAGCGAAAUUAAUUCACAUUUUAAUGUAUUCAUUUCGUUAACCACGUACUUACAGCGAAAAAUGUAUAGUCAUGUUCUCUCAGCACCUUUUACGCCUUGACAGUUUUUGACCACUAGAUGGCGUAAGAGAAGCGUAUGAGACCCUGAAGGAUUUCAUUAGGGUCCAAUUCCUGAUUUUUCAUGUUAAAUGCUGGAAAAACAUCUUCAAUGAACACAGUUCUAAUUUAAACAGUGCAAUGCUAGAUGUAAUUAAUAUAUUUUAUUCAUUUAUUUUAUUAAAGCCACACUAAAUAAAUAGUUAACUAGCAUUAUAAUUAGUUUAGUUACAUUUUGCAUUCAUUCAUUCAUUCAUUUUCUACCGCUUAUCCUCAAGAGGAUCGCAUGGGUGCUGGAGCCUAUCCCAGCUGUCUUGGGGCAAGAGGCGGGGUAAAAACCUAGACUGGUGGCCAUGCAGCCAAUCACAGGGCACAUAUAGACAAACAACCAUUCACACUCACAUUCAUACCUAUGGACAAUUUGGACUCGCCAAUUAACCUAGCAUGUUUUUGGAAUUUUAACCAUCAUUCCCAAUCCUUAUAUGAAACAUGAACACAUAUUUCUUUCCCUUUUCUGUGCAUUAUAGUUAUAGUGCAUUAUAAUUAAGUUAAUAUGAGCUAGCUAACAACUGACUUCAUAUAAUGUUUUUGAAAUGUGUGAGGAAACCGGAGUACCUGGAGAAAACCCACACCAGCACGAAGAGAGCAUGCAAACUCCACACAGAGAUGGCCUCGAGGGGAAUUGAACUCGGGUUUCCCAGCUGUGAGGCCAGUGUGCUAACCACUUGGUCACCGUGCAGCCACACGGCACAUCUCUACCAUCCUUUGUGGACAUCCUUUCCCCAACAUCUAACAUCCUUAAAACAAUCCAAUAUGGUGGCACCAAGCGGAAAGAACUUUCCUAGGAGAGCGCCUCACUAAGGCCGCCUCGCUAAUGUCGCCGGGCCUCCCGAAAGCGAUUCAGCUCUGUUGCGGAUCACACAGCUGACGGCGGACAAUGAACAAAUGAACAACACGCUCUGCUAAUAGGCCGUGUGUCCUCC